CAAAACUGUACAUUUUUUUUAAAGUUUGUUGAAAAGAAUAUUGUCUUAUUCUAUAAAACAUUUCAAACCUAGUUAGAGAUUUGUAAUCAAAAAACAUUUGCGCAGAAAGCAGCACUUAGGGCUGCCUGUUCUAUACCCUACAGUCAGACAGGAAAAGAACUGAAAAUGGCACCCUUCUGACAUUCUGAGGCAGCUGGACUGGCAGCCAAGUAAAGGAGAGUGAUGAGGCAGCGCGAGGGUGCUCUCCACAGCAGGUAGGAGCAGGCAGGAGUGGGGACAGAGGGAGAGCUUGUGACUGGGACAGUGAAAAUAAACGAUUGGCUCUUAUCAAUCACUUGCACCAACUAACCGUUUGUAUUUUCUUUACCGACCUUUCCCUUUUGGGAUAUGUGGUCUGGUGGGCUGGGAGGCUUACAGUGUCCCAACUCUCCAUUUUCCUGUGCCUUUGUGCUGUUUGGCUGAGGCAUGGAGACUGCCAGUGGGUGGUUCUAUUUUACAGGAUUCCCAGGCCAAGAAAGCCUGGGGACUGUCCUUGAUGGCAGAGCAGAAUAGCCUGCCCCUUCUAUAGACCCAUUGAUUAAUUCCUGUAAAAUCUUGGGGAGAAUGGGAUUGCAGCCCUCAGCCUAAAGAUUGUGAUUUGCCAGUCUCUAGUCUCUGUCUUCCAAGGUUGAGAGAGGUGGGAGGUCUCUGAAAUCAUCCCUGUUAGAGUGUCUGUCCUCUUACAGUGCGAGAGAAGGAACGUUUCUCAGGGUUUCAGCUCACACGAAAACACAGCAGGAUUCUUUUCACUGCAGCGGGAUAUGUAUAUAGGUGAAUCCUGUGGUGUGGGCUCACAGGCCCAGGUGCUGAGAAUAGCAACUAGCAACUAUUUUCUACAGUGUGGAGGGCUCGUGCCCUGCUGGUUUUUUUGAUACACAGGUAGAGAAUGAAUAGAAGAGGGGAGGGUGGUGGGGGGGGGUGGGAGGCAGCUCAGUGGGGCUGCUGAACCUUGGGAAGAGUGUGAGUGUGAACGUGUGUAAAUGUGCGUGUGAAAGGGAGCACCCCUUCCCGACUUCUAGAAACAAAAUUCCUUUUGGGGCGCUUUCCCUGUGUGUCCCCAGAGAGGCCUCUAGCCAGGAGCCUUCAGUUGGGAUAGUUUCAUUUGUGACUUUACCAAUACCCUCCCAGUUCUUGAUAGACAGCUGUAGGUUGCUGGGUUCAAGAAUAUGGGUGGGAUAUGGAAUGCUCUUUCAAUGUCUAGCUUCAGUUUUCAUUCAUCCUCCUGCUCAGCACUGUCAGCCAAGAGCUUACUCAGCAGACACCACAUACUGCAGCAGUUCCUAGUGAGAAAAUCUGUGCCACUAGAAAAUGCUUCACUUCCAUUUCCUCACCUGGGCAGUUCUCUGUUUAAAAUUGUGGGCUGAUUUGGUCUUCCUCUCCUCCUCCCACUGUUACUGCCCUGCAGCCCUUGUUCAGGUGUACAGACCCUUAUUCUGGCCUCUAGUGUCCUUGUCUGUCAUGACACACCCUUCCGCCCAAAUACCUCUGACCCCAAGGCUGGAAUGGGGCUGGUAGGAGAUAAGUUUGCUUACUCAUAGUCAUGUCCUUUCUCUUGGCACCUGCUUCCCUGCGGUGUCCUCAAAUGGAUUUCUGUGUGGCAGUGGAGUGAUUGCAUGAAUUUUUCUGUAACACAUUAACUUUGUAUUAUUAUUAAGGGAGUUUGAGAAAGCUUUGCUUAUAAUGUCAAGGCAAGGAGGUAAAAACUGGAGCCCAAAGAAAUUCCCUUAGGGCAAGAUUAUGUUAUAAUAGAAAAUUGAAUUUCCUGAGGCAGUGGCUGCCACCCCUUUUCAGAUGUUUAGUCCUGCAAAUAGCAUCUUUCUUGUAGUCUGUGACAUGGAUGGGGAUGCUAGGGCCCUUAGGGGCAAGGGGACUAAACUAAAUCAAGUUGAGUUUUUUUCCAGCAGGGGUUAGGGGAGGUACUCGCUGUUGAUAUUUGACACUAGAAAGUAAUCUUUUUUACAAAACUGUUUUUCUAGGUGGGUGGAAAGUGAAACUGCCACAUCCUUGUUGGUUUAGUCCAAGAGAUCAUUUGCAACAACAGUAGAUGUCCGGGUUUUGUUUCUGUCUUUUUAUUAUGAAAAACUAUGUUAAGGGGGAAAAUGUGGAUUAUGGUAACCAGAGGAAUCCCUAGCCUUGUUUUCCUUAGAAGACUUGUUUAGUGUUUUAUCAGACGUCUGUUGUAGUUGUAGACAGGAAAGCUUGUGAGAAAAACACCACAUGGAGCCUGUAAAUGUUUUUGCACAACCUGUAAAGCAUUCUUGGAAGUGGCCAGUAAAAAGGGGUUUUACCAUUUAAAAAAAAAAUGUAACUGUGUCAUUGUUUACAUCUGUAACUUUUUCCUCCCCUGUUCUCAUUACACCAUUCUGGCGAAAAUGUAGGCAAAGUAGCUUCCAGUUUUAGAAUAAAUAACCAUUUGGAUUGAAUUCA
rnacentral:lncRNA from 1 species